rnacentral:rRNA from 1 species
UCUGGUUGAUCCUGCCAGUAGUCAUAUGCUUGUCUCAAAGAUUAAGCCAUGCAUGUCUAAGUAUAAGCAAUUUAUACAGUGAAACUGCGAACGGCUCAUUAAAUCAGUUAUCGUUUAUUUGAUAGUUCCUUUACUACAUGGUAUAACUGUGGUAAUUCUAGAGCUAAUACAUGCUUAAAAUCUCGACCCUUUGGAAGAGAUGUAUUUAUUAGAUAAAAAAUCAAUGUCUUCGGACUCUUUGAUGAUUCAUAAUAACUUUUCGAAUCGCAUGGCCUUGUGCUGGCGAUGGUUCAUUCAAAUUUCUGCCCUAUCAACAUUCGAUGGUAGGAUAGUGGCCUACCAUGGUUUCAACGGGUAACGGGGAAUAAGGGUUCGAUUCCGGAGAGGGAGCCUGAGAAACGGCUACCACAUCCAAGGAAGGCAGCAGGCGCGCAAAUUACCCAAUCCUAAUUCAGGGAGGUAGUGACAAUAAAUAACGAUACAGGGCCCAUUCGGGUCUUGUAAUUGGAAUGAGUACAAUGUAAAUACCUUAACGAGGAACAAUUGGAGGGCAAGUCUGGUA